rnacentral:rRNA from 1 species
UACAGGGGGGGCAAGUGUUAUUCAGAAUGACUGGGCGUAAAGGGUAUGUAGGUGGUUUUUUACAAAUAAAAUGAAAGGCCGAAGCUCAACUUCGGAAUAAUUUUAUAAUAACUAAACUAGAGUUCAAUCGGAGGUUGUGGAAUUUCUUAAGUAGUGAUGAAAUGCAGUCAUAUAAGAAGGAAGGCCGAUCGGCGAAGGCAACUACCUAGAUUGAUACUGACACUGAGAUACUAAAGCAUGGGGAGCAAACGGG